rnacentral:rRNA from 1 species
GGUGGCGAGUGGCGGACGGGUGAGGAAUACGUCGGAAUCUGCCUUAUCGUGGGGGAUAACGUAGGGAAACUUACGCUAAUACCGCAUACGACCUACGGGUGAAAGCGGGGGAUCGCAAGACCUCGCGCGAUAAGAUGAGCCGAUGUCCGAUUAGCUAGUUGGCGGGGUAAUGGCCCACCAAGGCGACGAUCGGUAGCUGGUCUGAGAGGAUGAUCAGCCACACUGGGACUGAGACACGGCCCAGACUCCUACGGGAGGCAGCAGCCGAGAAUAUUCCGCAAUGGGCGCAAGCCUGACGGAGCGACGCCGCGUGAUCGAUGAAGCCUUUCGGGGUGUAAAGAUCUUCUAUGAGGGAAGACAAUUCGACUGUACCUCAUGAAUAAGAGGCUGCUA